AGAUUGCCUCAUUGGCUCCUAGCAGACUGAAGGCUUCCAUAUGGCUAAAAUGGCAAAGGACUCAAAGCAACUGACUUCUUUGCAAUCAUCUUUCUUAGUCAUUUCACUUCAGCAUUUUAAAUGGAGGAGUUCUGAUACAACUGGCAAAAUGGAUAGGAGUAUUUUAAUAUCAUUUUAAUGGAGAACCAAGGUGUGGCUACCUCUUGCCAGGGGGAUCUCUUCUCUCCAGGAAGGACUUCUUAAUGGCUAUGUGCUCCAAGUUCCACGAAUGUACUUGCAUCCUGCUGGAGAUUGAUGGGAUGAGGAUCAGCACAAUCACAGCUGUUGACCUUCAGGAUUUGUAAUCUGAUCUUUCUACAGCUCUGGAACACUCUGUAUAAUGUUAUUUUUGUUAACAGGUAGUUUAAUUCAUGCAUGUUUUGAGCCCAAUUUCAUGUUCGUACCAUAGUUUAUUAGCAACAAGCAGAAGAGUUCUUUCUGUGCCUUGCUGAAGCUGCAAGAGAGUACUAACCAGACUUCCCUUUCUUUGUGUCACAAAGAUGCUUCUUUGUUAGUUCAUCAUAACCAGAUGGUUGUUUGGAAAUUAAGAAGUGUGGGAGCUACAGUACAUAUACUUCAGCAUAUGGGCUAUAUGAUCUAAUAAAAGUUUUAUUAACUGAGCUCAGGAAAAAGAUAAGGAAGGCCCUACCCCCAUAGACUCACACAUCUCAGCAUUAUUUCUCAGACGUUUGUUAUCUGCCUGGGGCAAAAUAUGCAAGAUGGGCAUGCAUCACAUCAUUCCUGAAAAUAUCAGUGUAUGCCUACUAAAGGCAAUUUUUUUGUGAAAGGCAAUUAUGACCUAUAGUCUAUACUCUCAUAGCAACGUUAGCAAGUAGUAGCAUCUAAUUAGAAAUUCAUAGCAGCUUCCAAGCCAGUGGUCUGAAAAUAAAAACAUCUAUAACA